rnacentral:tRNA from 1 species
GCCCGCUUGAUGGAACUGGUAGACAUACCGGACUUAAAAUCCGUUGCCCGCAAGGGCGUGGGGGUUCGAAUCCCCCAGCGGGCACCA